rnacentral:rRNA from 1 species
UUUUAAUAAAGUUGCGGUAGUAGAACGUUCUGUAAACUUGGAAGUAAAGGCGGUAAGUUUUUAUGAAAGGUAUCAGAAGUGUAAAUGCUGACAUGAGUAACGAUAAAUUGUUUGAAAAUUACAAUCGCCGUAAACCCAAGAUUUUCUUUGUUAAAGAUUAACUUCAAAGAUUUAGACGGUCCCUAAUAUAAAUGAGUGAAAAUCAUUAUAAAUGGGUAUUUUCCUUAAUAAUGGUGUAUCGUUUUGUCUAGUGACAAAAAUUUAUUAAUUAGCUCAAAAUAUUUAUUUAUCAAUUUGAGUGUUUAAUUUUAAAAUUUUUUUCUAAGAAAAAGACUCGACUGAACACACGACCGUAUCAUAAACCGACACAGGUGGGUUGGUAGAAUAUACCAAGGCGCUUGAGGUAAUAGUAGCUAAGGAACUCGGCAAAAUAGCUCUGUAACUUUGGAAUAAAGAGUGCUGCCUUUUGGCAGCCACAGUAAAGAGGG